rnacentral:lncRNA from 1 species
CUUUGGCCAGCGCCAGUGCCCUGUCACGGAAACAGGAGCCUUAUUCAAUACUUAACCCACGUUACUGGGCAACCGAUAGGACGAAAUAAGGAGAUUUUCGUCCCUGUAUUUCAGCCAAUUCCUCCACAUACUUAUGUCAGCUCAAGAGCAUAAUGUUUCCUAAUUAAUUAAGAGCAUCGUUAAGACUCCAUUGAAGCAGGACUGACUCAAAAUCAGGAAACAACUCUUAGCUUUCACAAAAACCAUUCAGAGCAGCUCCCUGGGCUCAUCUCUCCUGCUGUCCCCGUCGGAAAAUCCAUACCCACAACCUUUCCCAGCCUUUCGUCUGCCUCUGGAGAAUCAGGGAAGCCAAUGGGAGCAUUGUUCGCUUGACAACCGUGCUGUCCUUCAGGGUACAGACGCGCGGUGGGCGUCAUUGACCACAGGAGCGUAUGAGAAAGGA